GUAAGAGCUUGCACCAAUUAAUACAACAGCCCACAAAAUGCCAAGGGAGGGUCCAGCCGCCUUCAUGGACUGAGCACUUUGUACACAAUACACGUUGUACCCAGUCCUGGGCUACCAAGGAGUGCUUCUGACCAAAUGUGGUGGGGAACUCAGGGAAGGCUGGAGGCUGAGGCUGGAAAGGGGGGCGGAGGUACACCUGAGUGUAAAGGACCUGAGAGGGAGGCACACCUGAGUGGGAGGUCCACGUGGGUGAGAGGUUCAUCUCGGUGGGAGGUCCACCUGGAGGGAGGUCCUGAAAGGAGGAAGGGCAUCUGAGUGGAGGCAGGGGCAAUCACAGGAAACCAGCCUGGGGAGGGGCAGAGUCCGGUCGUGUGGGACGUGGCAGGAGGUGCAGAUGCUGGGCUAUAUCCUGCAGAGCAGGAAUGGGAGACGUGUGUGCAUAGGGGAUGGAAAACCCCACUGAAAUGAUCUUAAGUAAAAAGGGAAAUGAGUCUGUUGGCUCAUAUAAUGCAAAGCUCCUGGGCAGGCUCGAAAUGACAGCUGGGUCCAGAUGUUCAAAGUGUGUCUGUAGGUCCCAGACUCUCUUCCUUUCUCCCUCGCUCCUCUCUCUCUCUGAAGUUUGCCAUCUCUUUCCCAUCUCUAGCCCCACAUCUGCACCAGCUUCUCCCCUCCACCUUUCUGCUCCUUCCGGCUCUCUUUCCUACUCUCAUCCUCAUUGCCUUCACCUUCCGCACAAGACCCCUCUCCACACGUUGGCUCCCAGCAGAUCCACAUGCACGUUAACCUGAGUGUUGGCUGUCCCAGUAGACAGGGGUCUUCUGCUUCCUAAGACUUCCCCAAAAAAUCCUGGAUAAAAACUUGAACCACCUUUGGUGAUGUGCUCUUCCUGGAGGCAUAGCAGGGGCGAACAUCCCCACCAUAGCAACCUGGACUGAGAAUAGGGGAAGACUGAAGUGUAGCUGCCAGGACACAGCCUGGCGGAACUGGGCACCCCGGCUCGAGGAGGACUCAGGCCAGGCAUUCUUCGCAGAGAUCCAGGUGGUAGAGGGCAGGGAGGGAAACCAAGGCAUAUCAGAAGGAACCCCAAGGAGGGCAGAGCAAGUCCGAGAAUGCUCACAGCAGGCAGAGACCUUUCCCAGAGAGGGAAUGAAGGAAAUUUUGGGGAGAGAGGCCCUUGGGGUUGACCAUGAAGGACAGGAAAGAUGAGGAUGGGCUCUGAGGUCACCCCAGCCACCAAAAGCAACAGAAAAGACCCCUGUGGCCUCACAUCCUGUGCCCACAACAGCAGGGUUCUCUCAACCCACGGAAGUUCCCUGUGGACCAAUCCAGAUGCAGGUGCAGUGUGUAGGAGUCUGGGCAGGCAGAGAGGAAGGGAGCAGUGAGAAUGCACCAGAGCUGCUUGGCCAGUCUUCUGGUUUGUCCAGGGACUGAGUGUUGCUGAUAGUUGAGGCCACAUUCAUUUUUGAGAUCUGCAGAUGUUAGAUGUUAUUGAUUUCUAAGUGCAAUAAAGUUGAGUAGCACUGAUCUAAAAUACUUCCCCUCAGUCUGGCAGAAAUACAGCCAUUAGGGUUUGAUUUAGAACCAUCAUUAGGAAGAAUAAUCAGAACACCAAGAUCCUUUCUUUCCCAGCACAAGCAGGCUCUCGGCCAUCGGGCAUGUCAUAAUCUUGGAAGUUUAUGUCCGAUAAUGGAGAGGGGAUGAUUAGUAACACAGAUGCAAAAGCAGCCCUGCCUUGAACCACUUCUCAGAGACAAGUUCAGGCCAACUCUGCUCUGAACACAGAUCCAGUUCCAUCUCAACUCGGAAUAAAGAUUCCCAGUCCAGGAUGACACCCAUCCCCUGGGCGAAUGCCCCAUGUGCCCUGGAAAACCACAUGUGCAGUUGUUGGGUGCAGUGUCACAUGGAUGCUGAUUGGAUCACGGGAAUUGGCAGUACUUGAAGAUCAUCUAGUUGGCUUGGAAUUAAUCGGACACCACUUCCUGUAGAGUGUGGAAAACCUGCAGCUCCACAGUCCUCCUCAGUGACCUUCCUGUCAUGGAUGUCAGGUGUUUUACAUCUGUGUAUAUUGAAAACCACGCCAAACAGUAUGAAUGUUCCUUUCCACGCUCACAAAUUUUAAAUAACUAAGAGAAAAAGAAGUAGUCUUUUAUAUUUGUUCUGAUAUUUACUGUUUCCACUUCUCUUUCCUCAUUCCUAAAUAUCCAAGUUUGCCCUGGCACUCUUUUCACUCAUGCUGAACAAGUUCCAUAUGAAGACUUUCACUAGGCCGGGUCUGUUAGUGACAAAUUCUCUGUAUUUUGCUAAGGUCAUCUGGAACUAAAUGUAUUUUGCCUUCGUCAGAUGGAUUUUGUUGUUGUUGUUGACAGUCUCCUAACACUUUCAAGCUGCACCUUCAUGUGCCGGUUUCUAGAGAGAAAUCCAGUCACUCAAAUCAUACCUCCACUAAAUGUAAUUGUGCUUUCAGUUUUAACGCGAAAUGUGGAACAGAUGGAAACCUGCUUUCUUUGAAUUUUAAAUUAUAUGCUUACUGGCUAAGAAACACAGUAAAAGUAGCUAUUUUUUUUGUAACCUGUGAAUGUCAGAGAGACGGAGGAAGUGGUUCUUUCCUAACGUUGCUCAGCUGUGCCUGCUGAGGCUCGCCGGAGUGCCUUAUUUACUGAUGCUCCAGACCACGCCCAUCUGCUACAGCCACCCUGUCCCCAAAGCACAGGACAUCCGCUGGCCCCUCCAGUGCAGCCCGCCACAGCUGGGCCACCACAACUGGACACCCACUGGCCCCAUAUAAUGCAGCCUGCCACAGCUGGGCCAUCACAACUGGACACCUGCUGGCCCCUAUAAUGCAGCCUGCCACAGCUGAGCCACCACAACUGGACACCCACUGGCCCCAUAUAAUGCAGCCCGCCAUAGCUGAGCCAUCACAACUGGACACCCACUGGCCCCUGCAGUGCAGCCUGUCACAGCUGAGCCGCCACAGCUGGACACCCGCCGGCCCCUGCAGUGCAGCCUGUCACAGCCGAGCCACCACAGCUGGACACCCGCUGGCCCCUGCAGUACAGCCCGCCACAGCCGAGCCGCCACAGCUGGACACCCGCUGGCCCCUGCAGUGCAGCCGCCACUGAGCAUCACAACCGCAGUUGUCCACCGAGAUCCAAACCCCGCAUGGUCCUACCUGAGGCUUCAAGUCACGCUUCUUCACUCAGCCAAAGGUCUGUGCACGCGUCGUUCUGGCCCCCAGAUUCUGCUCCUUGAGAUAUGUGGCUGUUCCUCAACACUGGGGGAAGUUAAAGCCUGAGUUCAAAACCCAUCGAGGCAGAAGCUCAGAAGUCACACGAAUGAAGAUCGAAAUGUAAUAUUAUUACCGACAAUUGAUAGCGAAGAAAAUGGCUUCUUCCUGGUUGCCUGGUGCCUUUUUGCAGUAAGGGAAACGUGGGUCACUCCGAGAGCAUUCCCUCUCACGGGGCCAGAGCUGCGGCUCCUUGAGGACUCCCUCCUGGAAGACAGCGCUUUGGUUAUAGAAAUGCCUUCACAUUUCACAUGGUGACUUUAGCCCUCCCCACACUGUUUGUGAGGCCCAGGGCUUCCCCAUCCUCAUCUCUCAAUAGGGCAGAGACCCUGCGGGCCUGAGACAGUCAUGGGGUGGAGGGAGCUGGGCCCAGAUCCAGAAGCACUGGCCCUGAACCUACCCUUCCCACUUUCCUAUACUCAGCCUCAAGUUAGCAAAACCGCACCCACACCUCCUGCUGGGAGAGGGAGGGACAGCUGGCCUCCCUAAGUCAUCUGCUCUUAUAAGAGAGAAAGACAAAAAGAGAGAGGGAGAGAGACAGACAGACAGAGUUCAGUGAUUACUCAUGCCUGUGAGCCAAUAUCACCAAAUGAACAGAACAAUCCCUACACAAAAUCUUAGUGGAUCAUGAACUCCCAGGAGAUGUUUUGGUAAUUCAGAAGUGAACAAUGAAAACCAAGUUCUGACCGAGUUUUAAAAUUGUUGGCUGGAAACUUCCAAGGAGAGCUAGCACACUGGGUGGAGUCACUGCCUAGCCUUCUCCCACUGCGGGUGUGGGGACCUUGUGCCCAAGCCGGGGCUCUGGGUUCCUGGGACAGAAAGGCGGGACCCACAGCCCAUGCAGCCAUGCACACACAAUGGCUCGCUUCAAAUACAAGUUGCCAAAAGGAAUUUUGGCUUUGUCUAUGGGAACAAUUAUAAGUUUUAAAAACCGCAUUUUCCCUCUGGAUAUGUUCUAAAAUGUCAACUUCCAUGAGUCUUUUACAAGAGGCAUAGGCCUUUAGUAUUAAGGCUAUUGAAUUUAUCUCAUCUUUAAUAAAAGAAGAAUUUGUUUUUGAAAUUUAACAAGAAUAUAAAUAUCUUAAUUAUUAUGUUAAUUACUCUUGAAGGAAUCGUAAACAAACAAAGAAUGCGAAGCCUUCUACUCCUCAAUUAAGUGUGACAUUGAUUGAAAUGCAAUGUGAAUGUUCUCACAAUAUAACAAAUUACUUCAAUCUGGAUUUAACCAUGCGUCUCAGCUGCGAUUAUUGUUGCCCCCGCUGAGGGCGGAAAGGGGAUGUGUUGGUAGGGUAGGGGAGAGGAUGGAGAGAGCAAGAGAAAAAGAGACGGGGCGAGUCAGGCUCGCUGCCAUUAUGAACUGCCAUCAAGUUCAGGAAAUCCGCUCACACAUGAAUGGCCCCACAUGCAAAUCAAC
rnacentral:lncRNA from 1 species